rnacentral:lncRNA from 1 species
AUUAAAAUUUUAAAAUAUUUUGACAAGUGUUGCUAUUCGAUGCACUAUUUUUUUCAUUUUGGCCAAAAAUAAUACAUCACAUAUAAGGAAAUAUUUUUUAAGGGUUAAAUUUUUAUCGUGUGUUUAUGAUCCAAUUAUAAGCUCAAAUAAAAAAAAAAAUCAUUGCAUGAGUGCAUGAAUGUUUUAUGAAAAUUUAAAAAAAAUGGAAAAAAAUAAAAAAAAUGUCAUACUGUGUAGGAGGUGAAUACAAAAAUAUUAUAAAAU